CUAGCAAGAGUCCCUGUUUCCCCUUUUUCUUCCUUUUCAUCCAAUAAAGCUCUGUCUCACUCACCAUUCAAAUUGUUUAUGAGCCUGAAUUUUCGUGGCCAUGGUGUGUCCGGAAUUGGUGGGUUCUUGGUCUCGCUGACUUCAAGAAUGAAGCCGCGGACCCUUGCGAAACCAUAGAUGUAAAGGUGAAGAGUGUCGGCAAAUACACUUUCUGCCAUGUGGAAAAAGCUGGCCUGCAGUGAAAGGGAGAAAUACAGCAGACACACAUGGAGACUCUGAGGCAAGAAACAAAGACCUUUCAAGAAGUAUUAAGGAAGCCAGAUCUCAUGCCUUACAGCACAGUGGGAAGAACCACUGCCUCCCAUUGGUUUGGAGGUGGAGGGUUGAAUGUGUGCAACAGAGCUGCUGUGAAUCCUGCCAUGGAGGCAUAUGUAAGAUGUGCUGAAGCCUUGCCUUCACCACAAGGGACACUGAGCCAGCUGCCUGCGUGAAAGAUAAGUAAUACUGGUGGUUAAGCUGUAAUAGAAAUUCAGUUGAUGAGACAAGAUCGAAGUUCUGCCAUUGAAUACUCCUUGAACUUGGAACUCUUCUGAAUAGGCCCAAAGGAAGAUAACUUUGACUAUAUAAACUACUUUUGGUCAUUACAGGUCGACUAUUAUGUUCUCUUGUCUUAUAAAACAAAUAUCAUCUAAAAUAUUGUACAUGAUUAUAAACAUAACCUUUCCAAAAUAAAAUCAGAACUUUUUCCUGUGCCAGCAUCA
rnacentral:lncRNA from 1 species